rnacentral:rRNA from 1 species
UACGAGGGGGGCGAGCGUUGUUCGGAAUUAUUGGGCGUAAAGGGUGCGUAGGCGGUUUGGUAAGUCUGAUGUGAAAUCUAUGGGCUCAACUCAUAGUCUGCAUCGGAAACUGCCGGGCUUGAGUGUGGGAGAGGUGAGUGGAAUUCCUGGUGUAGCGGUGAAAUGCGUAGAUAUCAGGAGGAACACCCGUGGCGAAAGCGGCCAUCUGGAUCACAAUUGACGCUGAUGUACGAAAGCGUGGGUAGCAAACAGG